GACGAACGCUGGGGGCGUGCUUAACACAUGCAAGUCGAAUGAUGAACCCGGAGCUUGCUCCGGUGGAUUAGUGGCGAACGGGUGAGUAACACGUGAGUAACCUGCCCUUGACUCUGGGAUAACUGCGGGAAACUGUAGCUAAUACCGGAUACGACCCUCGGCGGCAUCGCCAGGGGGUGGAAAGAAUUUCGGUCAAGGAUGGACUCGCGGCCUAUCAGAUAGUUGGUGAGGUAACGGCUCACCAAGGCGACGACGGGUAGCCGGCCUGAGAGGGUGACCGGCCACACUGGGACUGAGACACGGCCCAGACUCCUACGGGAGGCAGCAGUGGGGAAUAUUGCACAAUGGGCGCAAGCCUGAUGCAGCAACGCCGCGUGAGGGAUGACGGCCUUCGGGUUGUAAACCUCUUUUAGUAGGGAAGAAGCGAAAGUGACGGUACCUGCAGAAAAAGCACCGGCUAACUACGUGCCAGCCGCCGCGGUAA
rnacentral:rRNA from 1 species